rnacentral:rRNA from 1 species
GGAAGACUCACAUAGAGGCAGCAGUAGAGAAUCUUGUGCAAUAAACGAAAGUAUGACACAGAGAGGACACAUUUAAUUGAGCCCGUCAAAUUAAGUGCCAGCCGACGCGGUUAAACUUAAGGGCUGGUCUUUAUAAGUAAAAAGGCGUAAAGGAUGUGUAGGCCAAGAAACGACCCAAGUAGGUAAAUGGAAUUUUUCUGGAGCGGUAGAAUGUGAGGAUAGAAAAUAGAACCCCUAAGGUAAAAACUAUUUACCACAAGGUAGGCUGAAACAUGAGAGUGUGGGGAGCAAACAGGAUUAGAGACCCUGGUAGUCCACACUGUGAACUUUGAAGAUGAUGCUUAGCAGACCCGAAAGGUAAAAUCUUCCGCCUGAGUAGUACGAUCGCAAGAUUAAAAUUCAAAAACUUUGGCUGUUCACUAUUUCGAUUAGAGGAGCGUGUAGUUUAAUUCGAUGGUCCGCGUGUUACCUUACCCCAACUUGAAUCUGUGACCGGUAUUGCAUGGCCGUCGUAAGUUCGUGUAUUAAGCUAGAAGGGACCCAACCCGGGCAUUUGCCCGGAGGAAGUCAGGUCUUAUGAUCCGAAUGUUGGGGGAUUUUAUGCGCUACAUUUUCUUAUAUAAUGGGAAACCUGGAAGGUGAGCCUCUAAAGUAAGAGUUCGGAAGGUCGCUGUAAGACGACUGGAAGUUGGAUUUAAUAGUAAUCGGAAAGUAGGGCGUUCCGGUGAAUUGGUACAAGUGUUAGCACAAAUUGCCCGUCACCUUUACCUAGAAUGGUUAUUCGGACGUCUUCGGUGAUUACGAAUGCCUACGAGGUAAAGCAA